rnacentral:rRNA from 1 species
ACGGAGGAUCCAAGCGUUAUCCGGAAUCAUUGGGUUUAAAGGGUCCGUAGGCGGUCUUGUAAGUCAGUGGUGAAAGCCCAUCGCUCAACGGUGGAACGGCCAUUGAUACUGCAGGACUUGAAUUACUAGGAAGUAACUAGAAUAUGUAGUGUAGCGGUGAAAUGCUUAGAGAUUACAUGGAAUACCAAUUGCGAAGGCAGGUUACUACUAGUGGAUUGACGCUGAUGGACGAAAGCGUGGGUAGCGAACAGGAUUAGAUACCCUGGUAGUCCACGCCGUAAACGAUGGAUACUAGCUGUUGGGGGCAACUUCAGUGGCUAAGCGAAAGUGAUAAGUAUCCCACCUGGGGAGUACGUUCGCAAGAAUG